rnacentral:rRNA from 1 species
CGUGCGGUUCUAUUUUGUUGGUUUCUAGGCCGCCGUAAUGAUUAAUAGGGACAGUCGGGGGCAUCAGUAUUCAAUUGUCAGAGGUGAAAUUCUUGGAUUUAUUGAAGACUAACUACUGCGAAAGCAUUUGCCAAGGAUGUUUUCAUUAAUCAGGAACGAAAGUAAGGGGAUCGAAGACGAUCAGAUACCGUCGUAGUCUUUACCAUAAACUAUGCCGACUAGGGAUCGGACGGUGUUAUUUUUUGACCCGUUCGGCACCUUACGAGAAAUCAAAGUGCUUGGGCUCCAGGGGGAGUAUGGUCGCAAGGCUGAAACUCAAAGAAAUUGACGGAAGGGCACCACCAGGGGUGGAGCCUGCGGCUUAAUUUGACUCAACACGG